rnacentral:rRNA from 1 species
UUGUGAGGUUAAGCGACUAAGCGUACACGGUGGAUGCCCUGGCAGUCAGAGGCGAUGAAGGACGUGCUAAUCUGCGAUAAGCGUCGGUGAGGUGAUAUGAACCGUUAUAACCGGCGAUUUCCGAAUGGGGAAACCCAGUGUGUUUCGACACACUAUCAUUAACUGAAUCCAUAGGUUAAUGAGGCGAACCGGGGGAACUGAAACAUCUAAGUACCCCGAGGAAAAGAAAUCAACCGAGAUUCCCCCAGUAGCGGCGAGCGAACGGGGAGGAGCCCAGAGCCUGAAUCAGUGUGUGUGUUAGUGGAAGCGUCUGGAAAGGCGCGCGAUACAGGGUGACAGCCCCGUACACAAAAAUGCACA